rnacentral:rRNA from 1 species
GACGAACGCUGGCGGCGUGCUUAACACAUGCAAGUCGAACGGAAAGGCCCUGCUUUUGUGGGGUGCUCGAGUGGCGAACGGGUGAGUAACACGUGAGUAACCUGCCCUUGACUUUGGGAUAACUUCAGGAAACUGGGGCUAAUACCGGAUAGGAGCUCCUGCUGCAUGGUGGGGGUUGGAAAGUUUCGGCGGUUGGGGAUGGACUCGCGGCUUAUCAGCUUGUUGGUGGGGUAGUGGCUUACCAAGGCUUUGACGGGUAGCCGGCCUGAGAGGGUGACCGGCCACAUUGGGACUGAGCUGCGGCACAGACUACUAUGGGAGGCAACAGUGGGGAAUAUUGCACAAUGGGCGGAAGCCUGAUGCAGCAACGCCGCGUGCGGGAUGACGGCCUUCGGGUUGUAAACCGCUUUCGCCUGUGACGAAGCGUGAGUGACGGUACUGGGUAAAGAAGCACCGGCUAACUACGUG